GACGAACGCUGGCGGCGUGCCUAAUACAUGCAAGUCGAACGCACUCUCGUUUAGAUUGAAGGAGUUUGCUCCUGAUUGAUAAACAUUUGAGUGAGUGGCGGACGGGUGAGUAACACGUGGGUAACCUGCCCUAAAGUGGGGGAUAACAUUUGGAAACAGAUGCUAAUACCGCAUAAAACCUAACACCGCAUGGUGUAGGGUUGAAAGAUGGUUUCGGCUAUCACUUUAGGAUGGACCCGCGGUGCAUUAGUUAGUUGGUGAGGUAAAGGCUCACCAAGACCGUGAUGCAUAGCCGACCUGAGAGGGUAAUCGGCCACACUGGGACUGAGACACGGCCCAGACUCCUACGGGAGGCAGCAGUAGGGAAUCUUCCACAAUGGGCGAAAGUCUGAUGGAGCAACGCCGCGUGAGUGAAGAAGGUUUUCGGAUCGUAAAACUCUGUUGUUGGAGAAGAAUGUAUCUGAUAGUAACUGAUCAGGUAGUGACGGUAUCCAACCAGAAAGCCACGGCUAACUACGUG
rnacentral:rRNA from 1 species